GGAAUGGUGUGGCUCAGUGGUCGACCACAUGCUUUGAAUGCAGGAAGUCACAGGUUCAAUCCCCUGUAUCUCCA